UACGUAGGGGGCUAGCGUUGUCCGGAAUCAUUGGGUUUAAAGGGAGCGUAGGCGGAUUGGUAAGUCAGUGGUGAAAUCUGUGGGCUUAACCCACAAACUGCCAUUGAUACUGCUGAUCUAGAGUACAGUUGCCGUUGGCGGAAUAUGACAUGUAGUGGUGAAAUACUUAGAUAUGUCAUAGAACACCGAUUGCGAAGGCAGCUAACGAAGCUGUAACUGACGCUGAGGCUCGAAAGUGCGGGGAUCAAACAGG
rnacentral:rRNA from 1 species